rnacentral:rRNA from 1 species
CUUGACACUGAACAUUGAGCCUUGAUGUGUAGGAUAGGUGGGAGGCUUUGAAGUGUGGACGCCAGUCUGCAUGGAGCCGACCUUGAAAUACCACCCUUUAAUGUUUGAUGUUCUAACGUUGACCCGUAAUCCGGGUUGCGGACAGUGUCUGGUGGGUAGUUUGACUGGGGCGGUCUCCUCCUAAAGAGUAACGGAGGAGCACGAAGGUUGGCUAAUCCUGGUCGGACAUCAGGAGGUUAGUGCAAUGGCAUAAGCCAGCUUGACUGCGAGCGUGACGGCGCGAGCAGGUGCGAAAGCAGGUCAUAGUGAUCCGGUGGUUCUGAAUGGAAGGGCCAUCGCUCAACGGAUAAAAGGUACUCCGGGGAUAACAGGCUGAUACCGCCCAAGAGUUCAUAUCGACGGCGGUGUUUGGCACCUCGAUGUCGGCUCAUCACAUCCUGGGGCUGAAGUAGGUCCCAAGGGUAUGGCUGUUCGCCAUUUAAAGUGGUACGCGAGCUGGGUUUAGAACGUCGUGAGACAGUUCGGUCCCUAUCUGCCGUGGGCGCUGGAGAACUGAGGGGGGCUGCUCCUAGUACGAGAGGACCGGAGUGGACGCAUCACUGGUGUUCGGGUUGUCAUGCCAAUGGCACUGCCCGGUAGCUAAAUGCGGAAGAGAUAAGUGCUGAAAGCAUCUAAGCACGAAACUUGCCCCGAGAUGAGUUCUCCCUGACUCCUUGAGAGUCCUGAAGGAACGUUGAAGACGACGACGUUGAUAGGCCGGGUGUGUAAGCGCAGCGAUGCGUUGAGCUAACCGGUACUAAUGAACCGUGAGGCUUAACCUUACAACGCCGAAGGUGUUU